rnacentral:lncRNA from 1 species
GUGGCAAUAACAUAAUAAAAGCUUGAUAAGUAUUUUAGGAGCCAUGAACUGUCUGGUACAGUAUCUUCCAGUGAGUAAUACAUACUCAGAUGUUACUCCAUUAAUUUGUUCUACUUGAUUAGUUUAGAGAUAAGAAAAGAAUUCUACAGCUUUUGUUAUUAAAAAUUCCUUUCAAGUACCCUAACAGGAAAACCUGGAUUUCUUGAGAUUUGUCAACAGUAUUUAUUGGGGAAAAAAAAAAAAAAAAAAAAAAAAAAAGGUUGAAAAGAAGGAUAUGUUCUGUGGAAUUUUCCAAAGUUCAGAUUAAGUUUUUUUUUGUUUUGUUUUAAUUUUUAAUUAUCCUUGAGGUUAACAUAAUUAAUUCCUGGUCCUUAGCCAAAGGUAUUAGAAUUAAAAGAUUUGCAUGUCUUUAUCUAAACUAUGUUAUUCAUCCUAAGCAAUAAACAUAACUCUUUGCCAUAAAUGUUAGGCCUACAGUAUUCUGAGCAUUGCCAAGAGGAAAGAGGAAAAUCUCUUACACUAAGAAAAAAAUACAGAGAAAACCAUAACACAAGAACAUUAAUGGCAAGACGAAGGACCUGAACAAUACCACACUUUGGCCAGAGUACAGAAAUCAAAGCCCUACAGAAUGUACUGGGAGCAACAGGCAGGUUGAUAUCGUUUCUAUGAGCAACAGGUGACUUAGAUGAGAAAUGGUAUUGCACAUGUAUGGUUAGAUUGCCAAACAAGAUGACAUAAUGUUUUCUUCAGCCUUCCGUGGCUAAAAUGACUUUAUCAUUUUGUACUGUAUUGCCUUAAGCAAUAAGCUGAGCAUCAGAUCUAUGCAGAUAUAUCUAGGCUUAAAGACUGGAAAUCUUAGCUGAAUCAAAAAAGUCUUCACGACUAUUUAUCUCCAGGGCUUGUGUUACUGGCGAUUCCUCUUUCCCAGCUGUAUGUCUUCUGCCUUAUCCAGACUGAAAUAGAUCUAGUUACCCCUUUCUGGAAACCGCUGCAAUGUAUUCUUUGUGAUAUCUGAUUUAUAUCGUUGGUGACAUUAAUGGCAAAUGGGACCCAUUAGAAGGCGUCACAAGUGAGUUGUCAGAUGUUGAGGCCAUGACUUCUCCCUAUCUCUCCAGAUGACAGUGAGUAAAUAUUUUGAGGUAAGGGAUUUAGAUAGAAGUCUUUGAUCUUCCUGUGUGCGCUGCAGAAGCUUCUGGACUCAAACAGAGACGGGCAGACAUCAGUCAUGCUAACAGACAGCUGUCACAAGAACUAAUGCCACAUAUAAUUGGAAGUACAAUCCUUCUUUGAGUGCUGAAAUCUGGCCAAGAAGAUGAAGAUGUUCUUUCUGUCUUCUGCUGAGCUUCAAGGGAAAGGGAAAAGGGAAUUCAACUUACUGGCAUCAUCCCCAGGCAAUUUUAUUGACUGUGUGGCUGUCAAAGGGGACUGACCGAAAGAUCAGAGAUGACCUGAUUGACCGGAUGUAGGUUGUUGUUUUAGUUUUAGCUUCUGUGAAUCCUAUGUGCUUUUGGAGUCACCAGAGAUAAGAGGAGGAAAAAUACACAGGAGGGAAACGACCUACCUUGUUGGACAUAACAAUCAAGUUUUGUUGAUGUGAAGUCAGAAAUUUUUAAUCCCAUUCAGCAAAGCUUUUGGCCUGUGGAAUUUAAUGGAAAUUCUAUGUCACCAGCCAAAGAGCUAUGAAACCUCUGCGAUAACUUUGGCAAAUGAAGAUACAUGUUCCUUUUCCUGUGGUCAGCAAGGCAGUGUGUAGGCAGCUCUAGUCACUAGAGCAGGCACAAGGCUUUUUACAUUUCUCUGCAGAGAAAGUUUAUUAAUUUAUUACGCCAAAACCAUCACGGUCAUGCAACAGUAAAGCAUCUUUUGCUCUAAGUUUGGUCCUUGAAUGUAUCAUAGGCUUUGGAGCACUGUGUUUAACAAGUUCUCUUUAUGUUUUUCUGUCAACCUGUAUUUUUUCUGUCAAACUCUGAUUUCCCAUCUCUGUGGCUUUGAAGCUUAUCCCUGAUAAAAGACAGCACUUAUGUCAAAAUAUACUAAUGUCAUUUUGACACAGAAGUGCACAGCCUGGAAGCCAUUUCGCUUGGCAGAAUUAUCUCCUUUGGCAGCCUCACCACAGCUGAGCUGAGCUGCUGGGCACUCAUGUGUGUUUGUCCCCCUCUUUUUGUCAGAGGUAAAUCCUUGGGACUUUCAUCAGCUCACAUGAGAUAAACAGUAAUGCAAAUAAUGCUGAAAAAACUUGCUAGUCUGAGACUGUUUUCUGGGAAACAGUUUCUUGUUAGUUUUGGGGGUUUAAUUCAGCACACUAGGAUAAUCGAGGGCAAUGAGUAAUGAUGCCAGACACAGUGUUUGCUUCUUCUCCCGCUGCUUCAGAAUGAAGUUUUUAGUGAAUAAAGGUGAUAAAUAAUUUGAAAUUAUUCCUUUC